rnacentral:lncRNA from 1 species
UGCUGCUUCACCCAGCAGGAGGGACUACCUGGGCUUUAUUAUGACAAAGGGCUUUUAGGAUGCAGGAAAGAAGCGACAUUUUUCUCUUCCCGCCUCUGCCCCUGAGCCCCACCCCCUACUCAUUCCCUGGUCACAAGCCUCCUAUUCUUUUGGUGGAACAAAGAAAAGCGCGCUCUGGCUGAAGUUCACCUUGUGUUUUGCCAGCCUAGGGCAGUCAAUAAACUGCCAUUUGACCUCAGUCUUGCGGGUCAAGCAAAAGUCAGACCUGAAGCCAAGUGCAAUACAAGGGGCCACGUGGAGCUGGGAGAUAAAGAAAACUGGCUUUACACAGGUAAGGUCUAAAUCGUUCUCACUACCUAAUGGAGGAAGGGGACCUCCACUGGUCAUGGGUUCAAAGAAACUCAGAAGAUCGUGUUUCUCAAACUCCAGAGGAGCCAAGGAGAAACCACCUCCAGUAGCUCUCCAGUUCUUGCUGUGCGCUGGCUGUGGGCCCAGCGCUGGGUGUGUGGCCGUUCAACAGUUCAAUGGUUCUACGGUUCAGCAAGAACUGGAAGAUGACCCAAAAAUUGUAGUCCCUCUCAGCACGGCUCUCCGUGGACCUCAGACUCACUGACCAAUGUGGAAAAUUAACCUAAUAACAUCUUUGGAACAGAUCUUAAUACAGAUCAGCCCAUUUGUGGAUGAACAGGUAAAGGCAGAACCACUAUGUAAAAUGUAUAA